rnacentral:rRNA from 1 species
AACGAACGCUGGCGGCGCGUCUUAACCAUGCAAGUCGAGCGGCAGGCAGCAAUGCCGAGAGCGGCGGACUGGUGAGUAACACGUGGAUAACGUACCCCGAUGUCCGGGACAGCCUGUAGAAAUAGAGGGUAAUACCGGAUAGAUCACUGUUUACGUGAGGUAGACAGCGGGAAAGGAGCUUCGGCUCCGCGACGGGAUCGGUCUGCGGCCCAUCAGCUGGACGGCGGGGUAAAGGCCCGCCGUGGCGAGGACGGGUAUCCGGCCUGAGAGGGCGGACGGACACAUUGGGACUGAGAUACGGCCCAGACUCCUACGGGAGGCAGCAGGUAAGAAUAUUCCGCAAUGGGGGGAGCCCUGACGGAGCGACGCCGCGUGAACGAAGAAGGCCGGAAGGUUGUAAAGUUCUUUUCUGUCCGAGGAAUAAGUUUCGGAGGAAAUGCCGGGACGGUGACGGUAGGGCAGGAAUAAGCACCGGCUAAUUACGUG